CCAUUUUUGUGCUAAUCAUUGAUUGCUGCUCACCCACUUGAGAUGGGGGUAAAUACUUGCAAUGGACUGAAUUAGCCCUUUCUGUUUAUUGUUGGGGAAGAACAGAUAAUUUCAUUCCUUUGCUAUCUCAGUCAUUUACUAAAAGGAAAUAUAUGUUAAGGUCGACUUUUCAGAAUUUUGUUCAAAAUGGUUACUUUGAGUCAAAUACUAGUUUUUCAGUGGAACUGCUUCUUGGUUCUUCAUUGGAACCCACAUCUACUCUUCCAUCUUCAAAUAACAGGACAAUGGAAAUUUGUUCCUGUUGCUUUCUUCAUCCUCAGAAUUCAUCUGUUGUGCUGGGUCAUCCAAUUUUCUAUUCUUCCCUUCCUCAAAAGAAGUGGCAUAAUCCAAUGGAUGUCUAACUUAACACACAAAGGCAGGGAAAAAUGGGUUCUAGUUUAUUCCUUGGUUGUUGGGAGGUGGAGGAGUUUGACUUGCUCUAUGACUCUCUUUUCUCAUCUGUGUAAUUUGGAUAGUCAUUCUAACAUAACGUCCUCCAUUUCAACUUCCUGCCUGGACACUUUCACUGGAGACUGAAUGCAAGAGCCAUUCUCACUGGGAUGCGACAGCUCUGGAGACUUCUCAUAGAUGGUGUUUGGAACACUCCAGGCUUGCAGAUGGGCCUUUAGACACUGCCUGUAGUACUGCUUAGCGACAGCUCUACAGACAUAAAGAGAUUGCAGUGGCUGCUCCCUCCUGGCUCCAUCAUUCAACAGAGCUCCACAGAGGAUAAAGAGAUCCUCCUGGCUCGGCAGACUACUCUGCUCUGAUGGAAGUCCUAUCCUGGUCCAAACAUGAAAGAAUUCCCAACAUCAAGAUUGACUGAAACAUAUUCAAUGGGUGGUGACCAGAUGGGUAUAAAUGGGCUGUGGAAAAAGAGAAUUCAUGGCCAAAAAUGGUGGUGCUCUCUGUCCAAAAACUAAGGCCCUAUGACCGUGAAUGAAGCUGGAGGACAGGUAGGAACAGUUUGCUAAGAAUGAUGGUUUCCAGCUGCAUCCAUGUCCCUCACUCAU